GUUGCAAGCAACAGAAAUCUAUCAUUUACAACAAAAGCAACGAGGAGAUUACAUGAAGCGAAAGAGGGGGCUCACAGAAUUGAAGGGAUGCCGGAGAACAAGAAGCUGAAGAAAAUCUCAACAUUGAAGGAGCCUUGGACAACCACCUAAUCCUAUAUUCAUUGAAUAGUUGAACUGUAUCCACCCGGCGUAAUACCCAUGGCAACUGGUCUUCCACAUAUGAUGAAAUAGCCUCUGAGAGGUUAAGUCACUCACCCAAAAUUUCCACUGCCAGGAAGUGGUAGUGAUGGGAUUCAAACCUGGGUGGCCCUGAGACCAGAGCUUCCG
rnacentral:lncRNA from 10 species